rnacentral:rRNA from 1 species
ACUAAAAUCAAUAAUAAAAAUUGAUAACAUAAGGGAAAAUAAUGAUAUUACCUUAUUAUUAGUGUCGUCCAAAUCUGGUGCCAGAAGACUCGGUAAGGCCAGAGACACAAACGUUAAUCGUCUUAAUCAGGCGUAAAGGGUUUGUAGGCGGCUUUUAAAUUUACUUAUAAUUAAUAAAUCUUAAUAAAGAUAAAAAAUAAGUUAAGAAUAAAAGCUAGAAUCAAAUAGAGGAUACAUCAAAUAAUGCUUAGAGUAGGUCUGAUAUCCUUAGAUACUAAGUAGAAUAUUAAAGGCGAAAGCUUUUUUCCAUUAAUGAUUGACGCUCAGAAACGAAAGUGAGGAUAGGAAAUAGGAUUAGAUACCCAAAAUACCCCUCUCUGUCAACGAUGAAUGGUAGUUAUUAGUAAUAAAUUUAUUAAUGGCAAUGUUAACACGAUAACCAUUCCGCCUUGUGAGUACAACUGCAAAGUUGAAAACAAAAAAAUUAGUCGGUUUCGGAGCAAACGAAGUGAAGCAUGUUAUUUAAUUCAAUAAAUCCGCAAAA